AUUGAACGCUGGCGGCAUGCUUUACACAUGCAAGUCGAACGGUAACAGGCCUUCGGGUGCUGACGAGUGGCGAACGGGGGAGUAAUGCAUCGGAACGUACCCAGAGGUGGGGAUAACGCAGCGAAAGCUGUGCUAAUACCGCAUGUGAUCUGAGGAUGAAAGCGGGGGACCGAGCAGCAAUGUUUGGCCUCGCGCCUUUGGAGCGGCCGAUGUCGGAUUAGCUAGUUGGUGGGGUAAAGGCCUACCAAGGCGACGAUCCGUAGCUGGUCUGAGAGGACGAUCAGCCACACUGGGACUGAGACACGGCCCAGACUCCUACGGGAGGCAGCAGUGGGGAAUUUUGGACAAUGGGCGCAAGCCUGAUCCAGCCAUGCCGCGUGCGGGAAGAAGGCCUUCGGGUUGUAAACCGCUUUUGGCAGGAACGAAACGGUGUCCGCUAAUACCGUGCGCUAUUGACGGUACCUGCAGAAUAAGCACCGGCUAACUACGUG
rnacentral:rRNA from 1 species